GACGAACGCUGGCGGCGUGCCUAAUACAUGCAAGUUGAGCGCUGAAGGUUGGUACUUGUACCAACUGGAUGAGCAGCGAACGGGUGAGUAACGCGUGGGGAAUCUGCCUUUGAGCGGGGGACAACAUUUGGAAACGAAUGCUAAUACCGCAUAAAAACUUUAAACACAAGUUUAAGUUUGAAAGAUGCAAUUGCAUCACUCAAAGAUGAUCCCGCGUUGUAUUAGCUAGUUGGUGAGGUAAAGGCUCACCAAGGCGAUGAUACAUAGCCGACCUGAGAGGGUGAUCGGCCACAUUGGGACUGAGACACGGCCCAAACUCCUACGGGAGGCAGCAGUAGGGAAUCUUCGGCAAUGGACGAAAGUCUGACCGAGCAACGCCGCGUGAGUGAAGAAGGUUUUCGGAUCGUAAAACUCUGUUGGUAGAGAAGAACGUUGGUGAGAGUGGAAAGCUCAUCAAGUGACGGUAACUACCCAGAAAGGGACGGCUAACUACGUG
rnacentral:rRNA from 1 species